rnacentral:lncRNA from 1 species
CCUCUCUCUCUCUCUCUCUGUCUCUGUCUCUCUCUCUCUCUCUCUUUAUCUAUCUAUCUAUCUAUCUAUCUAUCUAUCUAUCUAUCUAUCUAUCUAUCUUCAAUAAACUCUUUCACCUUUCUGGCUAAUGUUUGGUUUUCAUACCAUGCGAAGCCAAGGACCCUCUUGGCUAGUCCUGUAGAAUCCCUUCUCUGGGUUUUCAGAUGUCUGCCAGUAUCAGUUCUUCCCCUCUAAAUUUUAGAAAAAGGGUCUUUAGGUGUUGGAAACUUCAGCCUUCACAGAAAAGAGGUUGAAUCAUAGUAGGCAGAACUAGGGUGGAAAGGUCUAGUAUUACAGUAUGCUAAUUCUUGUUUCCCCACCUAAAACUAGGCUGUAGACUGGAAUGUCACAUGUUAUAUCCUGAAUCCUAGCAAUUUCUCUUCUUCUCUCUCUAGUUGUAUGCUUUGCUCCCAGUUCUGGAAGCUGUUCACUUGCACAUACUUCCAAAGUGUAAAACAAACAUAUUUUGUUUUGUUUUGUUUUUUUCUCAGUGCUCUUCCAGAAAGAUCUCUCCAUAUUUGGCUAAACAGAAGUGAAGACUUGUGGAUCCUAAAAAUAUAUCCAAUAUUUAUGUGUGUACUUUCACCCCAAGUAUCCCCUUCCAUUCUCAGCCCAACGUCUCCUGUUUUCAAUUUUACUGAAAAGGUCCUCCUCACUGUGGCAUUGCAAGAUAUGCUUCUGUUGUCUUCAAAUCCUUAAAUUCACAUAUGUUGAGAAUUCAGGCAGACCUUCUAAACAGCAUUUGGGUUCAAUAUUAAGCAUUACUUUCUAACUACAAUGUGCCUUCUCCUCAAAGUUCCCUAAAACCUUGAAAAAUCAGUUUGAGAACUUUUGAGUCUCUUAACCUCAUUUUUCUAUGAUUCCCCAGUAAAGAAAAUUGCACUAAGUUGCUGAUGUGCCACUUUAAAUACUUAUAUAAAUCUCAGUCACUAAUUUAAGGACAAUAGUUUAAAGAAGA